GCAAACUUGGUCAUUUAGAGGAAGUAAAAGUCGUAACAAGGUUUCCGUAGGUGAACCUGCGGAAGGAUCAUUACCGAGUAAGGGUCGCCCCCUCGUGGGACCGGCCCGACCUCCCAACCCUGUGUCUAACAAACCUGAACGUGUUGCUUCGGCGGACCGGCCUCACGGCCGCCGGGGAGGGCUCAGCCCCCCCGGAGAGUCUGUCUGUCGAUGGCCCAACCAACAAACACCCAAACCACAAAACCAGUGAAACAAACCUUCUGAAUCAGAUUUUGAUGUAAACAAUCAAAAACAAAACUUUCAACAACGGAUCUCUUGGUUCUGGCAUCGAUGAAGAACGCAGC
rnacentral:misc_RNA from 1 species